AUAGCGUAUAUUAAAGUUGUUGCAGUUAAAAAGCUCGUAGUUGAACUUCAGCCUCUUGGCCGGGCGGUCUGCCUCACGGUAUGUACUGUCUGCCUGGGUCUUACUUCUUGGUGAGCCGGCAUGCCCUUUACUGGGUGUGUUGGGGAACCAGGACUUUUACCUUGAGAAAAUUAGAGUGUUCAAAGCAGGCCUAUGCCCGAAUACAUUAGCAUGGAAUAAUAAAAUAGGACGUGCGGUUCUAUUUUGUUGGUUUCUAGAGUCGCCGUAAUGAUUAAUAGGGAUAGUUGGGGGCAUUAGUAUUCAGUUGCUAGAGGUGAAAUUCUUGGAUUUACUGAAGACUAACUACUG
rnacentral:rRNA from 1 species